rnacentral:misc_RNA from 1 species
CGAAAAGGUUUGGUAUCCCCUCGGGGAUUCACCAGCACCUUCACCCAUUGUUGUUCUACAAUUGUUGCUUUGGCGGGUCGGGAGAACCUCCCCACCGACGACGCUCGGUGAGAACCCGCCAGAGGUAUUUUAAAACUCGUAUCAUAUCAGCUGUCUGAUUUACAAACAUAAAUUGGCAA